AGAGUUUGAUCAUGGCUCAGAUUGAACGCUGGCGGCAUGCCUUACACAUGCAAGUCGAACGGCAGCGCGGGGCAACCUGGCGGCGAGUGGCGAACGGGUGAGUAAUAUAUCGGAACAUACCCUAGAGUGGGGAAUAACGUAGCGAAAGUUACGCUAAUACCGCAUACGCACUAAGGUGGAAAGUGGGGGAUUCGCAAGAACCUCAUGCUCAUGGAGUGGCCGAUAUCUGAUUAGCUAGUUGGUGAGGUAAAGGCUCACCAAGGCGACGAUCAGUAGCUGGUUUGAGAGAACGACCAGCCACACUGGAACUGAGACACGGUCCAGACUCCUACGGGAGGCAGCAGUGGGGAAUUUUGGACAAUGGGGCAACCCUGAUCCAGCAAUGCCGCGUGAGUGAAGAAGGCCUUCGGGUUGUAAAGCUCUUUUGUCAGGGAAGAAACGGUGAGUUCUAAUAAAGCUUGCUAAUGACGGUACCUGAAGAAUAAGCACCGGCUAACUACGUG
rnacentral:rRNA from 1 species